GUUCCAUGAGGUGGGCAUUUUCUUUGCAUUUCCUUAUACCUUUCCCAAGCGUCAUACAAAGAUUUAGACUCUAGCUGGGUGAAGGAGGAGAUGUCAUUUAUCAAAUU